rnacentral:pre_miRNA from 1 species
UAUGGAAGAUUUUCUGGAUCUACACUGUAUUUGUGUUUUCAAAACUAAAACACAUUUACAUUUUAGAUCCUGAGAAUCUUCCGUA